rfam:Drosophila simulans chrT_M_5397 genomic scaffold, whole genome shotgun sequence.
GAUGCCGCGCUAGUUACAUAUAAAAGCAUUAUUUAAUACAAUGACAAAGCCUAGAAUCAAUUGUAAACGACUUUUGUAACAGGCAAGGUGUUGUAAGUGGUUGAGCAGCUGCCAUACUGCGAUCCACUGAAGCUUAUCCUUUGCUUGAUGAUUCGA